UACGGAGGAUGCGAGCGUUAUCCGGAUUUAUUGGGUUUAAAGGGUGCGCAGGCGGUCUGUUAAGUCAGCGGUCAAAGCCCGGGGCUCAACCCCGGCCCGCCGUUGAAACUGGCAGUCUCGAGUUGGAGAGAAGUAUGCGGAAUGCGCGGUGUAGCGGUGAAAUGCAUAGAUAUCGCGCAGAACUCCGAUUGCGAAGGCAGCAUGCCGGCUCCACACUGACGCUGAGGCACGAAAGCGUGGGUAUCGAGCAGG
rnacentral:rRNA from 1 species